CCUACGGGUGGCUGCAGUGAGGAAUAUUGGUCAAUGGGCGGGAGCCUGAACCAGCCAAGCCGCGUGCAGGAAGAAGGCGCCAAGCGUCGUAAACUUCUUUUGUCGGGGGACAAAGGGCGGCACGUGUGGCGUUGUGAGUGUACCCGAAGAAAAAGCAUCGGCUAACUCCGUGCCAGCCGCCGCGGUAAUACGGAGGAUGCGCGAGUUAUAAGGAUUUAUUGGGUUUAAAGGGUGCGUAGGCGGUACGGAAAGUCAGCGGUAAAAGCCCGGGGCUCAACCCCGGCGCGCCGCACCACCUGUCGGACUAGAGACGGCGAGAAGUACGCGGAAUGCGCGGUGUAGCGGUGAAAUGCAUAGA
rnacentral:rRNA from 1 species